CAUGCUUGUGUUGGCAGGACAUAUUAAAACUGAAGCAGUACAGAAAUUAUGAUGGCCCCUGCAAAAGGGUGACAUGCAAAUUCAUGAGGCAUUCCAUACUUGC
ensembl:snRNA U6 U6 spliceosomal RNA